rnacentral:rRNA from 1 species
UGCCAGCCGCCGCGGUAAUACGAAGGGACCUAGCGUAGUUCGGAAUUACUGGGCUUAAAGAGUUCGUAGGUGGUUGAAAAAGUUGGUGGUGAAAUCCCAGAGCUUAACUCUGGAACUGCCAUCAAAACUUUUCAGCUAGAGUUUGAUAGAGGAAAGCAGAAUUUCUAGUGUAGAGGUGAAAUUCGUAGAUAUUAGAAAGAAUACCAAUUGCGAAGGCAGCUUUCUGGAUCAAUACUGACACUGAGGAACGAAAGCAUGGGUAGCGAAGAGGAUUAGAUA